UGGAAGCGCCGAAGCUCAACGGAUAAAAGGUACUCCGGGGAUAACAGGCUUAUCGCGCCCAAGCGUCCAUAGCGACGGCGCGGUUUGGCACCUCGAUGUCGGCUCAACGCAUCCUGGGGCUGGAGAAGGUCCCAAGGGUUUGGCUGUUCGUCAAUUAAAGCGUUACGCGAGCUGGGUUCAGAACGUCGUGAGACAGUUCGGUCCCUAUCCGCCGUGGGCGUAGGAUAUUUGAGGAGAGCUGUCCCUAGUACGAGAGGACCGGGAUGGACGAACCUCUGGUCUACCAGUUGUUCCGCCAGGAGCAUCGCUGGGUAGCUACGUUCGGAAGGGAUAAACGCUGAAAGCAUCUAAGCGUCAAGCCCACUCCAAGACUAGAUAUCCCGUAGGGUUAACCUACCUAAAGACCCCUCGCAGACUACGAGGUUGAUAGGCUGCAGGUCGAAGCGCAGCAAUGCGUGAAGCCGAGCAGUACUAAUCGGUCGUGAGGCUUAACCAU
rnacentral:rRNA from 1 species